rnacentral:rRNA from 1 species
UGGGGAAUCUUGCGCAAUGGGGGAAACCCUGACGCAGCAACGCCGCGUGGGUGAUGAAGGCCUUCGGGUCGUAAAGCCCUGUCAGGUGGGAAGAAACUUGUGGAUGUUAAUACCAUCCGCACUUGACGGUACCACCGGAGGAAGCACCGGCUAACUCCGUGCCAGCAGCCGCGGUAAUACGGAGGGUGCAAGCGUUGUUCGGAAUUAUUGGGCGUAAAGCGCGUGUAGGUGGUCAGGUAAGUCAGAUGUGAAAGCCUUCUGCUUAACAGAAGAAGUGCAUUUGAAACUGCUUGGCUAGAGUACGGGAGAGGAGAGUGGAAUUCCCGGUGUAGAGGUGAAAUUCGUAGAUAUCGGGAGGAACACCAGUGGCGAAGGCGGCUCUCUGGUCCGAUACUGACGCUGAGACGCGAAAGCGUGGGGAGCAAACAGGAUUAGAUACCCUGGUAGUUCACGCCGCAAACGAUGGGCACUAGGUGUAGGAGGUAUUGACCCCUUCUGUGCCGAAGCUAACGCAUUAAGUGCCCCGCCUGGGGAGUACGGCCGCAAGGCUA